GUGUUCACUUUGGCAGCAUAUAUACUAAAAACUGAACGACACAGAGAUUAGCACGGCCCCUGCGCAAGGGUAACACGCAAAUUCAUGAAGAGUUCCAUAGUAAA